AUCUGGGUAGCUCAGUCUGUAAGGCAUCUGACUUCGGCUCAGGUCAUGAUCUCAUGGUUCAUGGGUUCGAGCCCCAUAUCAGACU
rnacentral:tRNA from 1 species